GAGUUUGAUCAUGGCUCAGGAUGAACGCCGGCGGUGUGCCUAAUACAUGCAAGUCGUACGCACUGGCCCAACUGAUUGAUGGUGCUUGCACCUGAUCGACGAUGGAUCACCAGUGAGUGGCGGACGGGUGAGUAACACGUAGGUAACCUGCCCUGUACAGGGGGAUAACAAUCAGAAAUGACUGCUAAUUCCGCAUAAGACCACAGCACCGCAUGGUGCAGGGGUAAAAACUCCGGUGGUACAGGAUGGACCCGCGUCUGAUUAGCUGGUUGGUGAGGUAACGGCUCACCAAGGCGACGAUCAGUAGCCGGCUUGAGAGAGUGAACGGCCACAUUGGGACUGAGACACGGCCCAAACUCCUACGGGAGGCAGCAGUGGGGAAUAUUGCACAAUGGGGAAACCCUGAUGCAGCAACGCCGCGUGAGUGAAGAAGUAUUUCGGUAUGUAAAGCUCUAUCAGCAGGGAAGAAAGUGACGGUACCUGACUAAGAAGCCCGGCUAACCG
rnacentral:rRNA from 1 species